AGAAUAGCGCAUGCGCGCAAGGAAACGUCGAGGGGGUGGAUGACGAGCGGAGCGGGCGUUGAGGUGGCCACACAGGGAGCAUAGGUUGCGGAGCCGUCUUCGCCCUAGACCCGCCUUCCCGCCCGCGUGGUAAAGAGCGGAAAACGCUCCCCCUGCUUGCGAGCAGGGCGCAGUUAGCGCGGCAGCUGGCGCGAGCAAGGCGUCGUUCCCGAGGGUGGGGGGGCAGGAGCGUCAUAGCGCCCCCGUUUGCGGUAGCCCUGUGCGCGCGGGUUAAUGAGCCCUGUGGUGCGUUUGUGCCCGCGUUGCGUGUAACCCGAGUACGAGCUCUGUGACAAAAGAGAUGAUCCCACCCGCCGCCUCCUCUCUCCCCUCUGGCCCUGUCUGCAGCUUAGCACAGAAGCCGUGUGGCUUGCGGGCUGGGCCCGCCUUGCCGAAGAAAACCCUCGUUCUUAUCUAGGGCGCAGUGAGAACCGAGCCGGCAGGUUUCCCGCGCCACGUGCUGGCCUUGGCCUGCGUGGGGGUGAGGGGCUUUAUCUCGGAGCGAGAAGGCGCGUUCACGCCUGCCUUGACUCCUGCAGUUUUUGGCUUCUCUGGGCUGAGUCUGCCAAUUAGCGGGGAACGUGUGUGAUGUGGGAGCCGGAACAGGCCCAGCGAAGGCUUUGUGGGGGAACCCCAAAGAUCGAUCUCUAGGGUGGGAACAACUUUUAAUUCCUCAAUUGGCUGGGCUGGAUUGGCACUGCUGACCUACAGGUGAAAGGCUAAUUGGUCAUUAGCGACGGCCUGGAGCAUUCAGAGUAGCAGCCGUGUUAGUCCGUACUCGCAAAAAGAAAAGGAGUACUAGUGGCGCCUUAGAGACUAACCAAGGAAUCCGAUGAAGUGAGCUGUAGCUCACGAAAGCUUAUGCUCAGAUAAAUUGGUUAGUCUCUAAGGUGCCACUAGUACUCCUUUUCUUUUUGCUGAAGCAUUCAGUUCUCCUUCAGAGCUAAUUUUUACUUUGUUGAAAAUAAGAUUGCUUUCUUGAAAUAUGUUUGUUUAACCAAGUUCUGAUCUUUUUAGAGCACAUGCAGGCAAGGUCUUCCACUUUCUGUAUACACAGGCAAAAAUAUCCCCACUGUGCUUUCUCCUCUUUAAACAUACGUUUUAAUAAGUAUCCCACCCAUUUCUAACAGAAGAGUUCUCACUACGCUAAAACAAAUAUUGAUACAACAACCAAAAUACCUAUAAAUAUGUUUUGUUAUAUAAAUCAUUUCAAUAUUUAUUGCAUGGGCUUCACACUGACGUAUGUCCCACCCCGCAUGAGCCGUUAGAGUUUGAAUCCAUAAGUUAUAACCUUCAGAUACAUGGCACCAACUGCUUCUAUGGUAGCUAUGGGAGUUGCAUGAGCAUCUGCCAUUAAGUAGAAUGACUUUUCCUAUUAGCAUGGAGGCAGUAAGAGACUCAUAAAUCUCUACAGGAGGCCUAACCACUAGGAAGGGACAAAGAUCUGCACUGUGUUAGCAUGGGUUACCCAAAGAGAUAAUUUAUCUCCUUCCAUCUGAGAAGUAGUGUGGUAAGGUGUGGUCUGUUCCUACCUCUGUCUAGUCUGAUGUUACCUUUUCCCACUUGUCUGUUAUCAUAGCUGUAAAAUGAGUGAACAAUAAUUAUGUCUACCCAAAGGUAGGGGAAAUGAUGCCUUGGUUAAUAAGAGUUAGGAAGUGACUAGAAAUAUUCAGAGCAGUUAGCAGAAGAGCUGGCAUUAGACACAUGGGCUCUCAGAAGACAAUUUAGUGCAUCUUCCCAUAGGCAACGCUGUAUUGCAGGCUCUUGCUCUUGCCCUCUCCCUCAAAAAUGGUGUGACGUAUUACCAGUUGUAUAGGAACAAAAUGUGUGACUGUCAAAUCUUGGGUAAUACUUGGUGGCCUGGUCUGGGAGGAAGGGGUGUCUCCAGAUGUGUGAAGGGGUUUAGGGUUCCCAAAUGUAUGUGGAAAUUGUGGGGUGGGCCUCUGGAGGUGAAGGGAGGGGUGAGAGGGAGAAGCGGGUGAAUGUUCAGUUAUGUGUCUGCCUCAUCCACUUCUCCAGAAGUGGAGAUUUGAGGGGAGGGGAAAAGUUUCCAGAUGUGACAUUUACUUUUUCUGGGUAGGUAAAGGUCUACGGGUAUGAACAUUUUUGAUGUGUCAGGAUGGGAUUGUUAAGGAAAUGUCUCUAUGUUAAAUUACCAGGAGUUCAUGUCAGAAGCCUUUGUUGUAAGUAGCUUAGUAAAAACAUGGUGAACUAUUGUAUUCCAUUAAAGAUUAUUAUUAUUUCUAUAAUGCAAUAGGUAUGCAUAGUUCUUCACAGACAAUAAAAAGUGAAGUUAAGACUUUGAAUUCUGGUGAGCAUCUCAUUUAUUUACUCCUUGUCCAAUUACUUCAAAUUUGAUAAGUAUUCUGUCUCAGUCCCAAAAUUAAACUACCAAAUUUGAGCUUGGAUUUUACAUGAGGAAACCAAAACUGAGUUUAUAAUGGAAAUGAAGAUGCAAUAUUAACUAUGGAAUAACUGCCACUGUAUCAUAAUAGGAUUUAAUUUCAAGUAGAAUGUAUUUUUGGGUUAUUGACUCAACCCAUGUGGAGUUAAUUGCAGAAUCUGGGCCCAAUAUAUUAAACUGAAAUGUAUACAUAGGGGCCAUGAUCUGACUAGACCCUCUUGGGGUUUGUUCUGUGGAUCUUGGAGGGGGAUCAGCGUUGGCUUUCAAGUUGAAUGUUAAUACAGAAGUCUGUCCUGGAUUUGGUACUGUUCAAAAUUUUCAUGAAUGACUUGGAUAAUGGAGUGCAGAGUAUACUUAAAAUUUGUGAAUGACACCAAACUGGGAAAGUUGCAAACACUUUGGAGACAGGAUUAGAAUUCAGCCCUCCCAUUUCUAUGAUUUAUUGUCAAUGGCUUAUUGUUGUAGUGUUGCAAAAUUCUGGAUUAUCAGGUAUGCUGUUUGAUCAAAGCCUGGAACUGAGUGGCAGAGACCCUAUAGACAUAGUAGCAGAUCCGAUCCACUCAAGUAAACAUACAAACAGAACCUUUUUUUUUUUUUUAAAGCCAGAUACUGAAUUUGUAUGCACUGGAAAUGAAUAUUUUUCUGCAACAUUGGACCUGGGUGGGAGUGAACCUCAUUUUACUCUGAUAUCUGGAAUCUAGUAUAUAUUGGAAAGACAUUGGGACGCAGCUACAGAGCUCCAUGUCAGGCUGGAGAUGGUUGAGAAGGAACCAAGGGGGUUGGGCCGUGUGUGUGAUAGAUGAGGCGCCAAUGGCGCUGCGAGACCACCACUGGGCAUGCGCGACCCAGACGGACACUGCUGUUGAAAUUCUCCGAUCAGUGGCACAGGGGCGCACCAACACCUGAAGUGGAGCAUCCACAGGGGGACACAUCUCGAGGAACCUCAAUUAGAGUACCAGGCCUUCCAAGGUGUUGCUGUGAAGAGAAGAGCUUGAGUCUGUCGUCGUUGCUGGCCUGGUACUAUUGGGAUCAUUGGAGGCUGCAAUCUGGGGCUGAAAUGGAUGGUUAGUGAAUGGGCGCCUCAAAGUAGGAAAGGGAGAGUGCAGUGCUGUCUUUAGGCCCAGCGCUCGGAAGGUGGCUUGGACCAAGUUGAUGCUGCUCUUUACCUGAGCCUCUGAACGACCCUUAAUCAGCCAGUCAGUGAGGUACAUGUAUCCCUGAACACCUUGCUUUCUGAGGAAGGCAGCUACCACUGCCAGGCAUUUUGUGAAAACCCGGGGGGCUGCGGACAGGCCAAAGGGAAGAGUGGUAAACUGGAAAUGAUCUGUGGCCACUGAAGAUAGAAAUGUGAAAGUAAGCAUCAUUCUAGUCGAGGGCGGUCAGCAUACAAGUCCCCUGGAGCCAGGGAGGGGAUGAUGGAGGCCAGGGAGACCAUACGAAACCUCAGUUUCUUGAGAUAUCUGUUGAGUUGAAAGAGGCCCAAUAUGGGACAAAGGCCCCCUUUGGCCUUUGUGCUUAGGAAAUAACCAGAGUAAAACCCCUUCCCUCUCAAGUUUUGAUGUAAGUUCUCCUUGGCCCCCGUCUGUAGGAGUGUCUGCACCACUGUUCCCUCUAAGCUGUGCGUGUGUGCGCAUGCACACAGAUCCUAAACCCCGUGCACAUGGCGAAAUACCGCGCACACAAACAUUUGCACAGAAGCACAAAAAUUUGCACAGAAGAAAUUUUUUGCACACACAGCCUGUCAAAAAUUAGAGGGAACAUUGGUCUGCACCUCCUAGGUAAGGAGUUGCUUGUGAGAAGGGUCCCUGAAGAGGGACAGGGAUGGGGUGUGGUAAGGAGGGGUGGAUGAAAACCGCAGGGUAUAACCAAUCGCCACCGUAUUUAGCACCCAGGAGUCCAGUGUUAUGCAGAACCACGCCAGGCUGAAGUGGGACAGUCAGCCCAAAAAUAAAGGGGAGGCAGGAUCUGAAGUGGGAACUGAUACAGCGCCCUUGGGUGCACUUUCAAAAGCCUGCGUGGUCUCAGCUGAGUACCUGUGUGACCCUGGCUGGGAGGUUGAGGUGAAUGGAAAUGGUUGACAGCACUUGUAACCUCUCUCUUUUCUCUUAUGGGGUCCUGUCUCAGAGGCGGAGCCAAGAAGCAUGGCGACUGUUGAAGCCUGAAGUGCUUCCUCAAAGCGGACGGAGCAAGAGGCCCAGGGACCUGAGGGUAGCCCUUGAGUCCUUCAGGCCAUGUAGUCUCGCGUCCGUCUGCUCUGAAAAUAGUGAGGAGCCUUCGAAAGGGAGGUACUGGAUAGACUGCUGGAUCUCCUGAGCAAGUCCCGAUGACUGCAGCCGGGAGCAUCAUCUCAUGGUGACAAUGGAGGCCAUUGUCCUGGCCGCCAUGUCUGCUGCAUCCAGUGCCCCCGGAGAGAGGCUCUGGCAACAUUCUUUCCUUUUUCUAAGAUGGCUGAAAAUUCCUGCCAUAAGUCUUAAGACAUGGUGUCCUUAAAUUUGGACACAGAGUCCCACAAAUUGUAGUCGUAUCUCCAUAGUAAGGCUUGCUGGUUUGAGAUACAUAGUUGUAGGCCGCCUGUCAAAUAAACUUUCCUCCCAAACAGA